AACGCAUAUUGCGCUCUUUGGUAUUCCGAAGAGCAUGCUUGUUUGAGUAUCAGUAAACACCUCAAAGACUUUAUUUUUUUUAUAAAGUAUUUGGAUUUGAGUGAUCCUAACGAGCGAGAUUCUCUCUCUCUUGGCAGGCCACUUGAAAUGCAGGUGCAGCUGAAUAUUUCUUCUGGGCUAUAAGCAUAUCCAUUUAGUCCUUUUUUAUAAAGGAUUAUUACUUUGCUACAGCUUACUUAUAAAGGUUGAUUUAUUCUUUUAUGCUGACUGAUGCAGGAAUUUAACGGUUUUUUAUUAAAACUGUAAAUCUCGAUCUCAAAUCAAGUAAGACUACCCGCUGAACUUAA
rnacentral:misc_RNA from 1 species